ACGAAAUGAAAGCUGGGUGCUGGCUGCCUCUGUGGGCUCCUGGUGCAUCACACGGACUUCCUGUUGUUGAUGCUGGUGUCAGGUGGCAUGUUGGCAUGAUGAAGCAUGGGCCAGCCGGGAGGGUGCAGAUACAAAUGCUGCUGUCAAAAUUGUGAAGCUGAAGUGCAUCAGAUACAGCAACAAUCGCAAGGAAAACUGUCUCCAAAUGCAAAAGCAUCUAGGAGGUGCAAUGGUGUCCUGGAGCUUGUCUGGCAUGGACACACCUCGAUUAAUAACAAGCUGGAUUUAUGAGGAUGCAUGACGUGACCAUAUAAUAGACCUUCACGUAACAGAAGAACAUAGCCCACACUCUCAGUGACAACCCUACUAGGAUCACUGCUUCCUGCCAAGCCACCUGGCUGGAGUCUCAGUCUCUAUGAUGUUUAACUAUGACAUACUUUGUCAGAAGAUUCCCUGGGGUUUCUCCUUUGUUCUUUUGUCUCUCCUCACAAUUUGGAUUGAUUACUGUGUGUCACAAUUUCCAUGUAUGAGCUGCUGGCUGCUAUUGAUGAGGGUGUCUUUUUUGGUAGACGUUACUUUGAAAGAGCAUAAAUUAAUGUAAGUAUCAGAAGUGUUUGUGACGCACAGACCUGAAGCACAGAUGAUACUACAUGCUUGUGUGCCAACAUUAAAUCUCGUUCCAAGUCACUGACGUCUUCUUUUGCAAACCUGGCUCAUAGCUUUGGCCAGUUAAAAAUAUAAUGAGAUCAGCAGGUAGUGCAGAGAUCAUACAGCAAGUAUUGUUAACCAAAAGUUCCAUACUCAAAUCCUAGAGCCUCAUACAUGCAUGCACCGUUUGUAAAAAGUGUGUGAAAGUACAUACAAAUUUUUAUUUUUGAAAAUCACCGAAUACAGUGUUAUGUAAACCGAUAUUUAAUGUACACUUGAGAAUUAUGUAGAUACUUACAUUAAAAUCACAACACAAUUUUAGUUGUGUCACUAGUUGGUCAGUGCUACUAGCGUACAUCUGUUUAUUGAGAAGACAUCCAUGGAGGGAUUGUCAUGCCUUGAAGGACUCGAGGGCAGGAGUGUUGGCAAAACAGAAAAGGGUUUUUUUUUAAACUAAAUGAACAGGGAAGGUAAACAAACAGGAUCGUGAGGGAUCAGAAAUGGGAGGACUAAAAAUUAGGAAGUCUACAGGCAUCAGGAAGGUACAACAUCAAUGACGAGACUUGGGAACAUAGGACUGGGAAGCACUAUAUACUGUACUGGACUAACAAGUGAGUGAACGAGAGACAGCUGGGAGUGAUCAACACGAGGGUAAUCAACAGGAGGCAAGACAAAUGAGUAACAAGCGUGGCUUGUUAGGAUCACACUAGGGAGGGGACAGGAGGGUCAGGUGGACAUGGUGGGCAGGACACAACAGAAAUGUCAUAUUGUGUGUGUGUGUUUCUCAAAUAUUCCUAAAUACAUACAUCUGAACAACACAAAACAAACCUCAGGAAAAAAAGUUAUUUUUAUUGUUUCAUUCAAUCUGUACAAAUACGAGGAUAAUGUUUAUGUACAUAUACCAUUUACAUAAAAAAUACAAAACUAUAUAUUUAUAACUGAUUCUGUAAUUAUGUGUCAUGUUUGAACAAUUAAAAAAAAAGAUUUUCAACACAAUAUGAGAACAACAAAGUAACUAAAUUUGAUAUAUUGUUUAUUAAUGUUGUAUUAUAUGGAUUUCUGCGAGUCCUGCAAGAGCAAUAUGGAGCAAAAUAACUGCUAUGAUGAACAGAUACAUUAGCAAAGGAGAAGGACAAAAGGCAAUUUGCAAGGGUUUGCAAAAGUACUUUUCAGUAUUGUCAAGUAUCUUCACAAAUCCAUUGGUGGCUCCAUCAAGAAAAACUGCCGUUUGUUGUCCUCCUUCUCGAUAUUUGAAAACAAUGCAAAUGGUUGUCUAUCAAACAUAUUUCUUAGUUUGUUGCACCAUAAGAAGUACUUUGCAGAACCACUGAGACAGUCCCUUUGGUCAGUUAUGUAUAGUAAACAAAACUCAAAGCCAUUUCUGUACAUUGAAUGGUGGAUUCCCAAUAAAUAAACACAUAGGCUAACAUGCGUUUUUCUGUGAAAUGAACAACUGUAGCAGAAGAAAACGAGAGUGAAAAGCAGAUUUAUACAGCUCAAGGAAUGCAAUUUACAGCUUGCAGAUUUAUACAUGGUCGCAUUGUACCUCAUAAUAAAUAACAUUGUUUUUCUUUGGAAAAUACAAAAUAACAAUGUAUAUAUAAUUAGCCAGACACUGUAAAUGUAUAAAUUAUAAAACACAAAGUAUAAAUAAACAUCUAGCACUGAA